GGAUGUGAGGGCAAUCUGGCUGCGACAUCUGUCACCCCAUCAAUUGCCAGGGUUGAUUCAGCUGAUCUGGUUGGGUAGGCUGGUGUCCCCUUCCUCCCUCAGUGCUCCAGGUACGUCCUCCCAAAGCUGCAUGCUCAGUUAAGAGGAUAACCUUCCCCGAUAGAGGACCAUUCUUUAGUCAGGGAUAUACAAGUAGCUGCACUCCCCUGCUAGAACCUCCAGACAAGCUCUCAAGAGCAGCUUCUGGACCUCUGGGGUCCCAGCUGGGCACAGGCUUGCCAGCUGCU
rnacentral:snRNA from 1 species